AGGGCACCACCCGGAGUGGAGCCUGCGGCUUAAUUUGACUCAACCCGGGGAAACUCCCCCGGCCCGGACACCGGAAGGAUUGACAGAUUGAUAGCUUUUUCAUGAUUCCGGGGAUGGUGGUGCAUGGCCGUUCUUAAUUCGUGGAGCGAUUUGUCUGGUUUAUUCCGAUAACGAGCGAGACUCUAGCCUACUAAAUAAAUCGCACAUUGUCUCUGUGUGUGUGACUUCUUAGAGGGAUUUUCGGUGUGCAGCCGCAGAAAAUUGAGCAAUUUCAGGUCUGUGAGGCCCUUAGAUGUCCGGGGCUGCACGCGCGCUCCACUGGCAAAAUCAGCGUGCUUGUCCUUCCCCGAAAGGGGUUGGUAAACCCUUGAAAAUUUGCCGUGAUUGGGAUUGGAAAUUGCAAUUAUUUUCCAUGAACGAGGAAUUCCAAGCAAGUGCGAGUCAUCAGCUCGCGUUGAUUACGUCCCUGCCCUUUGUACACACCGCCCGUCGCUGCCCGGGACUGAGCCAUUUCGAGAA
rnacentral:rRNA from 1 species